rnacentral:miRNA from 1 species
CACCGUCGGUGCAUCAAACUUU